rnacentral:rRNA from 1 species
CGCCUAUUGAACAUAUAAUAGGUCCAUCCUGCCCAGUGAAUUAAUUUUCAACGGCCGCGGUAUCCUGACCGUGCAAAGGUAGCAUAAUCAUUUGCCUUUUAAUUGAAGGCUAGUAUGAAAGGACACACAAGAAUAAUACUGUCUCAUUUGGGUUAUCUUAAAACUGAUUUUUAGGUGAAGAAGCCUAAAUUUCCAUAAAGGACAAGAAGACCCUAUAGAGCUUUAUCAGUAAAAGUUAUUAAACUCCCCUACUGAUUUGGUUGGGACAACCAAAAGACAAUUAUACCUCUUUUUUUAAAAAUAUAACCCACACCCAUAACUGAAUUAGAAUUUCAAGCUACCUUAGGGAUAACAGGCUAAUCCCACUAGAGAGACCACAUUGACAGUGGGGAUUGGCACCUCGAUGUUGGCUUAGUGUUACCAUUAGGCGCAGCCGCUUAAUUGAGUUGGUUUGUUCAACCAUUAAAUCACU